GGCUCAGGACGAACGCUGGCGGCGUGCCUAAUACAUGCAAGUCGAGCGAACAGAAGGGAGCUUGCUCCCGGAUGUUAGCGGCGGACGGGUGAGUAACACGUGGGUAACCUGCCUGUAAGACUGGGAUAACUCCGGGAAACCGGAGCUAAUACCGGAUAGUUCCUUGAACCGCAUGGUUCAAGGAUGAAAGACGGUUUCGGCUGUCACUUACAGAUGGACCCGCGGCGCAUUAGCUAGUUGGUGGGGUAAUGGCUCACCAAGGCGACGAUGCGUAGCCGACCUGAGAGGGUGAUCGGCCACACUGGGACUGAGACACGGCCCAGACUCCUACGGGAGGCAGCAGUAGGGAAUCUUCCGCAAUGGACGAAAGUCUGACGGAGCAACGCCGCGUGAGUGAUGAAGGUUUUCGGAUCGUAAAGCUCUGUUGUUAGGGAAGAACAAGUGCGAGAGUAACUGCUCGCACCUUGACGGUACCUAACCAGAAAGCCACGGCUAACUACGUGCCAGCAGCCGCGGUAAUACGUAGGUGGCAAGCGUUGUCCGGAAUUAUUGGGCGUAAAGGGCUCGCAGGCGGUUUCUUAAGUCUGAUGUGAAAGCCCCCGGCUCAACCGGGGAGGGUCAUUGGAAACUGGGAAACUUGAGUGCAGAAGAGGAGAGUGGAAUUCCACGUGUAGCGGUGAAAUGCGUAGAGAUGUGGAGGAACACCAGUGGCGAAGGCGACUCUCUGGUCUGUAACUGACGCUGAGGAGCGAAAGCGUGGGGAGCGAACAGGAUUAGAUACCCUGGUAGUCCACGCCGUAAACGAUGAGUGCUAAGUGUUAGGGGGUUUCCGCCCCUUAGUGCUGCAGCUAACGCAUUAAGCACUCCGCCUGGGGAGUACGGUCGCAAGACUGAAACUCAAAGGAAUUGACGGGGGCCCGCACAAGCGGUGGAGCAUGUGGUUUAAUUCGAAGCAACGCGAAGAACCUUACCAGGUCUUGACAUCCUCUGACAACCCUAGAGAUAGGGCUUUCCCUUCGGGGACAGAGUGACAGGUGGUGCAUGGUUGUCGUCAGCUCGUGUCGUGAGAUGUUGGGUUAAGUCCCGCAACGA
rnacentral:rRNA from 1 species